ACUCAAAGGAAUAGACGGGGACCCGCACAAGCGGUGGAGCGUGUGGUUUAAUUCGAUACUAAGCGAAGAACCUUACCCAGGCUUGACAUCCCGAGAAAGUCCCUGAAAGGGGACCGUGCCGCAAGGAACUCGGUGACAGGUGUUGCAUGGCUGUCGUCAGCUCGUGUCGUGAGAUGUACCGUUCAGUCGGCCAACGAGCGCAACCCGCAUCCUGUGUUGUAUUUUUCACAGGAAACUGCCUCAGUUAAUGGGGAGGAAGGUGCGGAUGACGUCAAGUCAGCAUGGCCCUUACGCCUGGGGCGACACACGCGCUACAAUGGGAAGUAACAAUGGGUCGCCAAGCCGCGAGGCGGAGCUAAUCCCAACAAACCUUUUCUCAGUUCGGAUUGGAGGCUGCAACUCGCCUCCAUGAAGCCGGAAUCGCUAGUAACCGCCGGUCAGCCAUACGGCAGUGAAUACGUUCUCGGGUCUUGCACACACCGCCCGU
rnacentral:rRNA from 1 species